CACGUAGGGCGCAAGCGUUGUCCGGAAUUAUUGGGCGUAAAGAGCUCGUAGGUGGUUUGUUACGUCUGCUGUGAAAACCUAGGGCUUAACCCUGGGCUUGCAGUGGAUACGGGCAGACUAGAGGUAGGUAGGGGAGAAUGGAAUUCCUGGUGUAGCGGUGAAAUGCGCAGAUAUCAGGAGGAACACCAAUGGCGAAGGCAGAUCUCUGGGCCGUAACUGACGCUGAGGAGCGAAAGCAUGGGGAGCGAACAGG
rnacentral:rRNA from 1 species